AUGCGAUAAAAGGGUGGCCGCGUUCGAUGAAGAAGUUGGAACCGUACCGAGCACAGGUUUGCCGACGCGAUAAGAGCCACGGGCUCCUUCCAUCGCAAUAAUCUUGCGGUUGACCUCGACGGUGUGCAACGAUAGGUAGUCACGGUACCGAUUUCUGCGACGGAGAGGCGGAGAAAUCGUCUGGGUGGCGCUUUACCAGAUCGAAUCGACUGUUUCCGAUACGCAGAAACUAUUAGAAAUCUAGUUUGAAUUAAUCGUUUAUUGUUAUGUUCAAACGACUCUGAACGUCGGUUCACACAAAAAUCUUGUCCAAGCGCGCACCUCUACCUGAACAAUGAACAGGAACUUUUCAUUUCUCGGGCGAUCGUCCGAUUCCAGGGAUUACGUCCAUUGCGACACUUCGACGAACGAAACGCGGGUCGAUCGACCGCGAAAGGAAGACGAGGCCGAAGAAAUGAUCGCGAGUUUGGACGGGAAUGGUCGGUUACGAAGAACUGGGUUCAUUUUCCCUGCGUGAUAAGCGCUUCACCGGCCAACUCGACUUCGUUAGACCGUUAUCAGUGGAGUAGAUGCUGAUAAGCGAUAGCGUCAGUUCGGAUUCCGGCGACUUCGGUGAGAAAAAUAAAUUUAACGACUACGGCGUUGCUAUUGUUUCGAUACCGCGCGACUUUAAAGAAAAAUUAAAUAUACAGAAUAAAUUAUAAACUCUC